CCUACGGGAGGCUGCAGUGGGGGAUAUUGGACAAUGGGGGAAACCCUGAUCCAGCGACGCCGCGUGAGUGAAGAAGUAUUUCGGUAUGUAAAGCUCUAUCAGCAGGGCAGAAAGAAAUGACGGUACCUGAGUAAGAAGCCCCGGCUAACUACGUGCCAGCAGCCGCGGUAAUACGGAGGGGGCAAGCGUUAUCCGGAAUUACUGGGUGUAAAGGGAGCGUAGACGGUAAUGCAAGUCUGGAGUGAAAGGCGGGGGCACAACCCCCGGACUGCUCUGGAAACUGUGUAACUGGAGUGCAGGAGAGGCAGGAGGAAUUCCUAGUGUAGCGGUGAAAUGCGUAGAUAUUAGGAGGAACACCAGUGGCGAAGGCGGCCUGCUGGACUGUAACUGACGUUGAGGCUCGAAAGCGUGGGGAGCAAACAGGAUUAGAUACCCGUGUAGUC
rnacentral:rRNA from 1 species